UUUGAUCGGCCAUUGGGCUGGUUUUGUCACACAGAUCUGGCAACCCUGAGUGGUAGGUACGAUCCCCGACUCCUCCCAGGCAAUUUCCCAAAGUAUCCUUGAGCAAGAUUUGAACGGGGUGGUAGAGGGUCAGACAGUGAUGGCACCGUGUCUGACUCUUGUACAGUUGUAACGCUUACAAUUGUAACUCUUACACCUGUUGUUAAUGAAAGUAUAAGACUGAAAAAUAGAUUAAUAACAUAACUCCUCAAUUUAAAAACGACCCUCUAACGUCCAAGUGACAGAAUGAAAACGUCACGAGUCACGUGGCAUCGACGUGCUCCACGGUAUAAAAAUGCGUGCCUACCGCUUCACAGUCUCUAUCUCCGUGGAAUUUUUGCUGAACGUACUGAGCUGUUUUCUCUUCAUAAUGCAAGGAUUAACCUGCAUGUCGAGUUCAACUAUUGACAAGCCGCCCUGAGCGGGAUUUAAUGUGAGUCCGCCACACUCACUAGCAAUAAUUGCCAAAGAAAGAGUUCUAGCCAGUAACAGACCGGGGAGGCCAACAUGCUGUCGGAAAGCAUAGCAACAGCUGGAUAGUUAACUUAAAGAAAUGGGUAGAAUAAUGACCACGAAGUAUUGGUGUUAAUAAUUUCAUUAACUAUCAAAAUGCACGUUUGGAUGCUCAUUAAAUAUUUUCACAGUUACUACAGCUAACUUUAGUUGGCCUUUGCCAGCGGGCCGCCUUAGGAUAUUUAACGCCGAACAACACGUGUAUUCAAACGACAUGCUGUCCGGUACUAUUGUCCACGCGUACAUUAAGCGUGCGCUUCAGCCUCACCAGGAUCAUGUCGAAAGAUGACUGCAGUCAGGUAUCCAAUAUUGACUUGGGGUCAUCUUAGAGUCAUGCAAGACCAGGUGGAGAGGAUGGCCACGGCUCUCCCUGGAAGGCUGCCACAUCUGCUACCAUGGAUAAAACACACUGACCUGCUGAUCUGAAAUGCAGUCUGUACUGUAGCUUUUCUAAUAAACACUAUUUGAUUCCCA